CUACGGGGUGCAGCAGUGAGGAAUAUUGCACAAUGGGGGGAAAGGUGAGACAGCAACGCCGCGUGGAGGAGGACGCAUUCCGGUGUGUAAACUCCUUUUAUGGGGCGAGAAAAUGACGGUAGCAUAUGAAUAAGCACCGGCUAACUCCGUGCCAGCAGCCGCGGUAAUACGGAGGGUGCAAGCGUUACUCGGAAUCACUGGGCGUAAAGGACGCGUAGGCGGGUUGGAAAGUCAGGUGUGAAAUCCUACAGCUUAACUGUAGAACUGCACUUGAAACUUCUAAUCUAGAGUAUGGGAGGGGGAGAUGGAAUUAGUGGUGUAGGGGUAAAAUCCGUAGAUAUCACUAGGAAUACCUAAAGCGAAGGCGAUCUCCUGGAACAUUACUGACGCUAAGGCGUGAAAGCGUGGGGAGCAAACAGGAUUAGAUACCCCAGUAGUC
rnacentral:rRNA from 1 species